rnacentral:lncRNA from 1 species
AAUCUAGGGUUAAAGAUGUGAGCUUACUGUCUUCAAAUAAAUAGUUGAUUUAUGUUCUUAUUUAUAAUGCUUUUGAGCCAAAAAUUGAACCUUCUAUAUCUUUUGAGCUUGUAUAAGCCCUGUCUGUGCUCUUCUGUGCAAUCGUUAAUAAUCAGAGACUUGAAUGUAUGCAGUUUUUCAGCAUAACUUAAUUUUCUUUUUGUAUUUGCCCCUGAUUACAUGAAUAAUAAACACAAACAUUUGUGAGGACACUAAAACCUUAUCAUAACACUGUCAGUGGGUAAAACAUACACAUACAUAAAUGCAGGGUUGCUUUACCUCAAGACCAGGUGAGUCUCCUGUGGUGGAUGGGAACCAGUUAUUAAUUGCAUGGCCUGCAAACCCCUGUGAAACAGGGGUUUUGUUGUACUGCUUGUCAGCCCAAAUUAGUUGUUAACUACCU